rnacentral:misc_RNA from 1 species
AAGCCGUAGGUGAACCUGCGGCUGGAUCAUUACCGUACUUUGAAAAAAGUUAUAUGUACGAGAGAAUGUUGUGUAUGUAAAGUCACAAGCUCUUGUAUGAAACUUGGUUGGGAAAUUGUCGCGAGUUUUCGGACUCUGCUUGACUCUGCUCUCCAAGUAUUCCAUAACCAAUGUUGUUAUGAUUGAUGUAUUAACUCUAGAGUAAAAUGUGAGUGUACUUAAUUGAUGAAUGUGGGUAGUCUUAGUACUUUGAAGAAUUUUUCGCCCGCAUUUGCUGUGCAUUCUAUUGACUCUUGAGUGGUUAAUCGUCAAAGAAAGCAAAAAAAAACAAAAACGUGUUUGUUGAAACCAUAUAAAAACAAAAAAAAAAUAAUAUAAAAAACAACCUCGAGUGGUGGAUUACUCGGCUCGU